UGGGGAAUAUUGGGCAAUGGGCGAAAGCCUGACCCAGCAACGCCGCGUGAAGUAUGGAGGCCUUCGGGUUGUAAACUUCUUUGAUCAGGGAAGAAACAAAUGACGGUACCUGAAAAACAAGCCACGGCUAACUACGUGCCAGCAGCCGCGGUAAUACGUAGGUGGCGAGCGUUAUCCGGAUUUACUGGGUGUAAAGGGCGUGCAGGCGGGCUGAUAAGUCAGAUGUGAAAUCCCCGAGCUUAACUCGGGAACUGCAUCUGAUACUGUUGGUCUUGAGUGCUGGAGAGGAUAGUGGAAUUCCUAGUGUAGCGGUAAAAUGCGCAGAUAUUAGGAGGAACACCAGUGGCGAAGGCGGCUAUCUGGACAGUAACUGACGCUGAGGCGCGAAAGCGUGGGUAGCAAACAGG
rnacentral:rRNA from 1 species